rnacentral:rRNA from 1 species
GACGAACGCUGGCGGCGUGCUUAACACAUGCAAGUCGAACGGAAAGGCCCUGCUUUUGUGGGGUGCUCGAGUGGCGAACGGGUGAGUAACACGUGAGUAACCUGCCCUUGACUUUGGGAUAACUUCAGGAAACUGGGGCUAAUACCGGAUAGGAGCUCCUGCUGCAUGGUGGGGGUUGGAAAGUUUCGGCGGUUGGGGAUGGACUCGCGGCUUAUCAGCUUGUUGGUGGGGUAGUGGCUUACCAAGGCUUUGACGGGUAGCCGGCCUGAGAGGGUGACCGGCCACAUUGGGACUGAGUAACGGCCCAGACUCCUACGGGAGGCAGCAGUGGGGAAUAUUGCACAAUGGGCGGAAGCCUGAUGCAGCAACGCCGCGUGCGGGAUGACGGCCUUCGGGUUGUAAACCGCUUUCGCCUGUGACGAAGCGUGAGUGACGGUAAUGGGUAAAGAAGCACCGGCUAACUACGU